rnacentral:rRNA from 1 species
UAAGGAAUAUUGGUCAAUGGACGCAAGUCUGAACCAGCCAUGCCGCGUGAAGGAUGAAGGUCCUCUGGAUUGUAAACUUCUUUUAUAUGGGACGAAACCCUGGUAUUCCUACCAGAUUGACGGUACCAUAGGAAUAAGCACCGGCUAACUCCGUG